CACGUAGGGUGCGAGCGUUUGUCCGGAAUUAUUGGGCGUAAAGAGCUCGUAGGCGGUGUGUCGCGUCGGCCGUGAAAACCUGCAGCUUAACUGUGGGCGUGCGGUCGAUACGGGCAUCACUGGAGUUCGGCAGGGGGAGACUGGAAUUCCUGGUGUAGCGGUGAAAUGCGCAGAUAUCAGGAGGAACACCGGUGGCGAAGGCGGGUCUCUGGGCCGAUACUGACGCUGAGGAGCGAAAGCGUGGGGGAGCAAACAGG
rnacentral:rRNA from 1 species